rnacentral:rRNA from 1 species
AAAGCGUUUCGCUUUGCGUGGUGCGCAAAAUGCGUAACGACAGCACGAUUGCGGUUAACGGAGCGUAAGCGACGUUCAACACAAAAAUCAGGCAGUGGAGCGUUUUGGGGUGGGGUGACUGCGUACCUUUUGUAUAAUGGGUCAGCGACUUAUAUUCUGUAGCAAGGUUAACCGCAUAGGGGAGCCGGAGGGAAACCGAGUCUUAAUUGGGCGUUAAGUUGCAGGGUAUAGACCCGAAACCCGGUGAUCUAGCCAUGGGCAGGUUGAAGGUUGGGUAACACUAACUGGAGGACCGAACCGACUAAUGUUGAAAAAUUAGCGGAUGACCUGUGGCUGGGGGUGAAAGGCCAAUCAAACCGGGAGAUAGCUGGUUCUCCCCGAAAGCUAUUUAGGUAGCGCCUCGUGAAUUCAUCUCCGGGGGUAGAGCACUGUUUCGGCCAGGGGGCCAUCCCGGCUUACCAAUCCGAUGCAAACUGCGAAUACCGGAGAAUGUUAUCACGGGAGACACACGGCGGGUGCUAACGUCCGUCGUGAAGAGGGAAACAACCCAGACCGCCAGCUAAGGUCCCAAAGUCAUGGUUAAGUGGGAAACGAUGUGGGAAGGCCCAGACAGCCAGGAUGUUGGCUUAGAAGCAGCCAUCAUUUAAAGAAAGCGUAAUAGCUCACUGGUCGAGUCGGCCUGCGCGGAAGAUGUAACGGGGCUAAACCAUGCACCGAAGCUGCGGCAGCGACACUGAUGUGUUGUUGGGUAGGGGAGCGUUCUGUAAGCCGUUGAAGGUGGCCUGUGAGGGUUGCUGGAGGUAUCAGAAGUGCGAAUGCUGACAUAAGUAACGAUAAAGCGGGUGAAAAGCCCGCUCGCCGGAAGACCAAGGGUUCCUGUCCAACGUUAAUCGGGGCAGGGUGAGUCGACCCCUAAGGCGAGGCCGAAAGGCGUAGUCGAUGGGAAACGGGUUAAUAUUCCCGUACUUGGUGUUACUGCGAAGGGGGGACGGAGAAGGCUAUGUUGGCCGGGCGACGGUUGUCCCGGUUUAAGCGUGUAGGUGUGUGUUCCAGGUAAAUCCGGUUCACUUUAACACUGAGGCGUGAUGACGAGGCACCACGGUGCUGAAGCAACAAAUGCCCUGCUUCCAGGAAAAGCCUCUAAGCCUCAGGUAACAUCAAAUCGUACCCCAAACCGACACAGGUGGUCAGGUAGAGAAUACCAAGGCGCUUGAGAGAACUCGGGUGAAGGAACUAGGCAAAAUGGUGCCGUAACUUCGGGAGAAGGCACGCUGACACGUAGGUGAAGUGGUUUACCCAUGGAGCUGAAGUCAGUCGAAGAUACCAGCUGGCUGCAACUGUUUAUUAAAAACACAGCACUGUGCAAACACGAAAGUGGACGUAUACGGUGUGACGCCUGCCCGGUGCCGGAAGGUUAAUUGAUGGGGUCAGCGCAAGCGAAGCUCCUGAUCGAAGCCCCGGUAAACGGCGGCCGUAACUAUAACGGUCCUAAGGUAGCGAAAUUCCUUGUCGGGUAAGUUCCGACCUGCACGAAUGGCGUAAUGAUGGCCAGGCUGUCUCCACCCGGGACUCAGUGAAAUUGAACUCGCUGUGAAGAUGCAGUGUACCCGCGGCAAGACGGAAAGACCCCGUGAACCUUUACUAUAGCUUGACACUGAACACUGGUCCUUGAUGUGCAGGAUAGGUGGGAGGCUUUGAAGUGUGGACGCCAGUCUGCAUGGAGCCAUCCUUGAAAUACCACCCUUUAAUGGCUGGUGUUCUAACGUGGGCCCGUGAACCGGGUUGCGGACAGUGUCUGGUGGGUAGUUUGACUGGGGCGGUCUCCUCCUAAAGAGUAACGGAGGAGCACGAAGGUUGGCUAAUCCUGGUCGGACAUCAGGAGGUUAGUGCAAUGGCAUAAGCCAGCUUGACUGCGAGCGUGACGGCGCGAGCAGGUGCGAAAGCAGGUCAUAGUGAUCCGGUGGUUCUGAAUGGAAGGGCCAUCGCUCAACGGAUAAAAGGUACUCCGGGGAUAACAGGCUGAUACCGCCCAAGAGUUCAUAUCGACGGCGGUGUUUGGCACCUCGAUGUCGGCUCAUCACAUCCUGGGGCUGAAGUAGGUCCCAAGGGUAUGGCUGUUCGCCAUUUAAAGUGGUACGCGAGCUGGGUUUAGAACGUCGUGAGACAGUUCGGUCCCUAUCUGCCGUGGGCGCUGGAAGAUUGAGGGGGGCUGCUCCUAGUACGAGAGGACCGGAGUGGACGCAUCACUGGUGUUCGGGUUGUCAUGCCAAUGGCACUGCCCGGUAGCUACAUGCGGAAGAGAUAAGUGCUGAAAGCAUCUAAGCACGAAACUUGCCCCGAGAUGAAUCUUCCCUGAGCCUUUAAGGCUCCUGAAGGAACGUUGAAG